UUUUCAUUUUAUUGAGGCAUUUUCUCCACAGCAUCAGUGACAGAAAGCCCUCAGGUCAGCAGUACCACCAUGUCUCAGGAGGGGUUAAAGAGCUGUAGAGACUUAAACUGCUCCCAGUUGUGUGAAGGUAACGGUACGUGUGCGUGCUUUGCUGGUUAUAAACUGCAAAAAGAUGGAGUGAGUUGUCAAGAGAUUGAGCUUUAUACUGUACAGAGGUGCUGCCGGGAUGGAAGGGAUCGGGCCCUUGCAGGACAACACUGUACAUCCACCCCUCCCAUCUCAUCUCACAACAUCUGCAA